rnacentral:misc_RNA from 1 species
UUCGCGUGUCUCCGGUUUCGAUGCCACACACACACACACACACACAGCCACACAGACACGCUUCUUCUUUCGCGAUAGAGGCCAGCAGUGAGUUUUGUUUGCUGUUCAGGCGUUUUUUUUUGCGUUUUGGGCGGCUACGCAGAGACGCUGCGUGCGGUGUUGCGCGCUUUUUUUCGUUUGAGUACCCCGCCAGCCCCGCUCACGGGAGGACUUCUCGGUGCGUCGCAUGCUCAGGGCCCAGCACCCUCCCCCUUCUAUUUCCUGCCAAUGCGGAACCACUUGUGGUGGUGACAUGGCCCGGGCACCCAAGCCGGAGGGAGGUCAGAGCGAUUCAUAGCAACUGAUAUCGGCGGUCAGGUCCUGGGUGGCGCUGCGUGAGAGCGAGCGGCGACGGUGAGCACACGCUUGCACUAUACCGAUGAAGGGCAGAGCAUCGGGGUGACGCGAACGCAUGCCACCCGACCCUCACGCUGCCUGCUGAUGUGGGGACCGGCGCGACGCCGAGAGGGACGCAGCAAGUGGCGACCGGCGUCGUGAGAGCUGCUGUGAGGCGACCUGAGGGGUGGGGGCGCGGUGGGACGGGCGGGUGGGUGGCGUUUGAGGCCGAGGCCGUGCUGAGAUGACUGGGUCGGCGCAUUGCUGUAACACGCGUGUGCCGACGGCUGCUUUUGCACCACGCGGAUGGGGCCUGCGACAGGCUGGGGGCGGAGUUGAAGGGGCUACGCUCAGUUGUGUGGCAGAGCGUGAAAAAGAUGCAGAAGACGUUUGUCUCUCCGAUGGAGGAGUUCGACCAACGCGGCAGAGCGUACCCCGCGCCUUGCGCGUGCCGCUCUUGGCGUGGACGUUGGUAACAGAGUAUGUUGGUGCCUGAGCCCAUACGUCUCUCCCCCAAUUUUUCUGUGUGCGUGUGCGCUCGGAUGACGAUGCCACAUGCCUCAGCGACGUCUCGCAGUGUAAUACCAGAUAAGCUCCAACGCAAACGGGUCGUGCUCACUUGCACAGGAGGACCUAUACAUCUAUCUAUAGGCGCUGCGAGAUGAGAGCCUGCUGCUCUCUUCUCGUUCAGUAUCGCACCGCGCCCCGUAAACGGGGAAAGAAAGAAAACGCAACAGCGUGAGCAUAUUUACCGUUUCCCUUGCUAACUGUGCAUAUGUCCCUUCCCUCCAGUGCCUCACCCGUCUACUACCUUUUUUUAUGCACGCGUUUUACUCCCCAUGCUCACCGCCCGCACAGAGACGCAAACUUCAGCAACCGCCUUUCUCCUACCUCUCUCUCUCUCGUCUCCUCCCUUUGUGCGUUCUUGGUGAUUGUACCCGUACUCGCUUCCUUUGCUGUGCUCUCGGGUAUCUUGUUCGCAG